UACGUAGGUGGCAAGCGUUGUCCGGAAUUAUUGGGCGUAAAGCGCGCGCAGGCGGUUUCUUAAGUCUGAUGUGAAAGCCCCCGGCUCAACCGGGGAGGGUCAUUGGAAACUGGGAAACUUGAGUGCAGAAGAGGAAAGUGGAAUUCCAAGUGUAGCGGUAAAAUGCGUAGAGAUUUGGAGGAACACCAGUGGCGAAGGCGACUUUCUGGUCUGUAACUGACGCUGAGGCGCGAAAGCGUGGGGAGCAAACAGG
rnacentral:rRNA from 1 species